GUCUCCAGGUGUGAACAUCGGU
rnacentral:miRNA from 1 species